AGAGUUUGAUCCUGGCUCAGGAUGAACGCUAGCUACAGGCUUAACACAUGCAAGUCGAGGGGCAGCAUGGUCUUAGCUUGCUAAGGCCGAUGGCGACCGGCGCACGGGUGAGUAACGCGUAUCCAACCUGCCUUACACUCUUGGACAGCCUUCUGAAAGGGAGAUUAAUACAAGAUGUUAUCAUGAGUAAGCAUUUUCGCAUGAUUAAAGGUUUACCGGUGUAAGAUGGGGAUGCGUUCCAUUAGAUAGUAGGCGGGGUAACGGCCCACCUAGUCUUCGAUGGAUAGGGGUUCUGAGAGGAAGGUCCCCCACAUUGGAACUGAGACACGGUCCAAACUCCUACGGGAGGCAGCAGUGAGGAAUAUUGGUCAAUGGACGAGAGUCUGAACCAGCCAAGUAGCGUGAAGGAUGACUGCCCUAUGGGUUGUAAACUUCUUUUAUACGGGAAUAAAGUGAGGCACGUGUGCCUUUUUGUAUGUACCGUAUGAAUAAGGAUCGGCUAACUCCGUGCCAGCAGCCGCGGUAAUACGGAGGAUCCGAGCGUUAUCCGGAUUUAUUGGGUUUAAAGGGAGCGUAGAUGGGUUGUUAAGUCAGUUGUGAAAGUUUGCGGCUCAACCGUAAAAUUGCAAUUGAUACUGGCAGUCUUGAGUACAGUUGAGGUAGGCGGAAUUCGUGGUGUAGCGGUGAAAUGCUUAGAUAUCACGAAGAACUCCGAUUGCGAAGGCAGCUUACUAACCUGUAACUGACAUUGAUGCUCGAAAGUGUGGGUAUCAAACAGGAUUAGAUACCCUGGUAGUCCACACGGUAAACGAUGAAUACUCGCUGUAGGCGAUAUACAGUCUGCGGCCAAGCGAAAGCAUUAAGUAUUCCACCUGGGGAGUACGCCGGCAACGGUGAAACUCAAAGGAAUUGACGGGGGCCCGCACAAGCGGAGGAACAUGUGGUUUAA
rnacentral:rRNA from 1 species